rnacentral:rRNA from 1 species
AUUGAACGCUGGCGGCAGGCCUAACACAUGCAAGUCGAGCGAGCGGCGGACGGGUGAGUACUGUCUGGGAAACUGCCUGUUGGCGGGGGAUAACUACUGGAAAAGGUAGCUAAAACCGCAUACAAUCCGAUGACCCCUUGUGGGAUUAGCUUGUCGGUGAGGUAACGGCUCACGUAGGCGACGAUCCCUAGCUGGUCUGAGAGGAUGAUCAGCCACACGGGGACUGAGCCACGGCCCAGACUCCUACGGGAGGCAGCAGUGGGGAAUAUUGGACAAUGGGCGCAAGCCUGAUGCAGCCAUGCCGCGUGUAUGAAGAAGGCCUUCGGGUUGUAAAGUACUUUCAGUCGGGAGGCGUUACCGACAGAAGAAGCACCGGCUAACUCCGUGCCAGCCGCCGCGGUAAUAC